AGAGUUUGAUCCUGGCUCAGAUUGAACGCUGGCGGCAUGCUUUACACAUGCAAGUCGAACGCGAAAGGGGGCAACCCUGAGUAGAGUGGCGCACGGGUGAGUAAUGCAUCGGAACGUGUCCUGUAGCGGGGGAUAACUUAGCGAAAGCUAGGCUAAUACCGCAUACGUCCUACGGGAGAAAGUGGGGGACCGCAAGGCCUCACGCUAUAGGAGCGGCCGAUGCCGGAUUAGCUAGUUGGUGGGGUAAAGGCUCACCAAGGCGACGAUCCGUAGCUGGUCUGAGAGGAUGAUCAGCCACACUGGGACUGAGACACGGCCCAGACUCCUACGGGAGGCAGCAGUGGGGAAUUUUGGACAAUGGGGGCAACCCUGAUCCAGCCAUGCCGCGUGAGUGAAGAAGGCCUUCGGGUUGUAAAGC
rnacentral:rRNA from 1 species